GGAGGGGGCAAGCGUUGUCCGGAAUUACUGGGCGUAAAGAGCGUGUAGGCGGCCUCGUAAGUCGGCUGUGAAAGCCCCGGGCCCAACUCGGGGAGGCCAGCCGAAACUGCGGGGCUUGAGUGCGGGAGAGGAGAGUGGAACUGCCGGUGUAGCGGUGAAAUGCGUAGAUAUCGGCAGGAACACCCGUGGCGAAGGCGGCUCUCUGGACCGUUACUGACGCUGAGACGCGAAAGCCAGGGGAGCGAACGGGAUUAGAUACCCCGGUAGUCCUGGCCCUAAACGAUGGUCACUAGGUGUGGGGGUAUCGACCCCCCCCCCCCGUGCCCGCAGCUAACGCAAUAAGUGACCCGCCUGGGGAGUACGGCCGCAAGGCUG
rnacentral:rRNA from 1 species